GUUGGUAAUUUGAGCAUGAAGAGUAUUUAAUUGCCUAACCACUCCAAGAUCACUCAUUUUCUAUCCAAUUGAUUUCUCAGUAUCCAUUCCAAUACUCCCUCUUCUCUCUCACGCCUACUCCCUCACACUCUAACCAUUCUCUUCAAUUCAAGCUUUGAACUAAGGAAAGGAAGCAUGGAUUCUUACAUGCAAUCAUGGUAGCAACUUCUCUAGCCAUAAGUAAACAAGAGCUUGUAUGUGAGUUAUAGUAGCCAAGGAGUCAUGGGUUCAUGUUUGAAGCUUGAAGUUUUGAGUGGUGACUUUUGAAAGAGAUUGUGUUGAAUUUCGUUUUUGGAUAUACUUUCAGAAAAACAGUAAGUACUCCUUCCCUGUAACUCCAAUCGAGUUAAUUCUUUAAGUUCUGUAAAGCUAACGAAUUUACCCUCGUUGGCAUAUCAAAUUUUAUCGGAUUCGGAGUUACAAUGCAUUAUGUAGGUGAUGUUAAAGUUGAAGAUAGGAAACAGGAUUUCUGCAGAAAAUGUGUUUGGACAGUGCUGCACUUAAAGGUUAACUGCGCCCUCUCUAUAACUCGGUUUGAGAUUCCGUUUGCUUCUAUGGAUAGCUAACUCGAUUACGGUCGGUAUGGUUCCGGUUUUGUGAAUUUUCAAUAAGGGAUGAGGUCUGUAUGAAUUUUUGAAGUUGAUACUCCGAUGCAGAAUUCUGCAGAAAGGUAUGGGUACGGGUUUGAAGCAUUUCGAUUGAAAUUAUGCAUAUCGGCGAGCUCUGGAAAUGACAAUGGUAUUGUUCAAGCGUAUUUGCAGAUAAACAGGUUGAUCAAGAUAUCAUGGUGUGCAAGCAUGAAGUUCAGAUACUUGGAUUAUGCUAGUUGAGCUGACGUCAUGUUAUCUUAUAUUUGUAUAAGAUUUAGUUUCUUUAUGUUUUCAGUUGUUAGCUCAAUUUAGUAUUAAUCUCUUGGAUUUUGUAAUCCUAUUUAUGUAUUCGGACAAUAUGUAAUGAAAAUUUAAUGUUUCCCGAUUCAGUUAUGUAUACUCUUAUC